rnacentral:tRNA from 1 species
CCGGGUGUAGUUCAGCUGAUAGAACGCUUGGUUUGGGACCAAGAGGCCGUGAGUUUGAGUCUCGCCACUCGGACCA